GUUGCCGCCGCCGCGGCCCCUCACCCGGGCAGAGCGCGCGCGGCUACCGCCCCUCGGCAGCGGCUUUGACACCUCAUUGGCUGGUUGGGUCAGGCGACGGGGAUUAGCCAAUCAGGCGUCGAGUUGAGGAGGCUUUGUUCUCUGCCGAGUUUGAGGCGGCAGCUGGGGCGCCGGGCCUGAGGGAUGUUGGCUGUGGAGUCCUUCCCUUUUGCCCGGCCUUCUAAACUGAAAGAAGAUAAAUUCAUGUGGCUAAAAUUUAACUUCGUAGAAGUGCUGAGAUGCCCUGUGUAUACUAUCAGUCACAGGCUGUAGUUGCACAGUAAACUGCUCUGCUUUUAGAAAUGGUGACAGGAAAUUGCUAGAAAAACAUUUGGAAUUAACCAAGCUGGGUCUGACUGAGGUGGCGUACCGUUUGGAAGUGGCUGCGUAAAUGCUCUAGGCGGGUGAACCUCUUCCCACAAGCGUCGCAGGGGUACGGUCGCUCCCCUGUGUGACACCGAAGAUGUCGCUUCAGGUCUGCGCGUCGUUUCACCGUGUGCGUACAGAGGGGGCAUUUGAAUCGCAUCCGAGGCAAGUCAUCUGGUAUAGAGAAAUACAGAUUCACCUCUGAGGGCAGAUAGCUGCUGUAACCGCUCCACGAGUUUUCAUUCACCGUAUUAGUCUUUUCGUCCGGGACUGAACAGGAACGCCUGGGGUUGCUCUUCGCUUUCCUUCUUGAGCGAUAAAGAGAUGGAUGGGCAGGUUCGCUGUUGGUACUUUUGGCUGACAGGCCGAGAUAGCUCGCAGCUGACAUGACUUCGAUCACAUUUUGACCGGUUAAAGACAAUAUGCCCGAAUACACAAAGUCCAGGAUAACCAUAAAUGUCUCUGGAGAGAAAACCUCAAAAGUAGC